AAAGAUAAAUUAAGAAUAAUCAAGUAAACAAUGUGCUGGUGUACUAACCCUUUGUCAUUUUGUAUCUAAACUGGAAUUUUCUAGUCAAAUUUGGAAACUAUUGUAUGGAUCUAGCUGCGGUAUUACAUUUAGUUUUGAUGUUGAAUUGCUUCAUUAAUUUGGUUGUUCAUUGGAUUUAUCCAUAUUAACAGAAAAUGACAGUCUACCUUUUUUGUUUUAACCCAGUUAACAAUUAUUUUAGACGUUUUUGUAUCCCUUAGUUUAUUGGAUGGAUAGAGCUAAAACUUGUUCCCCCUAUUUAUCUCCACAGGACUAGACUAUAUGAUAUGGUAAGUGAGUAAUACUAUGAAUAUGAAGUGCAUGGUAUGGUAAGUGAGUAAUACUAUUAAGAGUUACUUAAUAGUUUUUAACUUUUAAUUGACUACUACGCCAUUAGAAAUGAACUGCAUUUUAUCUUUGAGUGUGAAACAGCACAGGAGAAAUAAUAAGAAAUAUUAGUGUUUAGUUUGAAAAAAUACCUUCUUAUUGAAGGAUUAGUUGAAAUAGAAAAGAAAAUGAAGAAAACAGCACAGGAGAAAUAAUAAGAAAUAUUAGUGUUUAGUUUGAAAAAAUACCUUCUUAUUGAAGGAUUAGUUGAAAUAGAAAAGAAAAUGAAGAAUAUGAAUCACAAAAACCAUGUUAAAACAUCUCUGUAUACAGGUUGUAUUAUACAUAGCUAGUACCGUGCUUAUAGGCCUACGUUCGGUUAGAUGUGAUUCUUCAGAACUGGUUGCUAUUUUAUGUGAAUAUGUUAUCUGAUCACUUGUUCAUUUCAUAUCAUGAUAAUACUAUGAAUAUGAAGUGCACAUGGGUUAGCCAGGUUGCCCAAUGACUUGUUCUCAUAGCAACUGAUCAUCGCCUUGACUGUCUUAUAUCUAUACAUAACUUCUAGCUCUCCAUAAUAGGGAGCUCUGUGCUUCCAAUGAGUAUAGGUGUAGUUGGCAUUUGAAGUUGGAGAUGAUGCGGUGAUAACAAAUCUCCCAUCUCACUCUGGCAGUUUUGCUGCUAAGAAAGUUCACUGAAACCCCAUGCCUCACCAAUGUUAGUCCAUUUCUGCAUGCCAAAUUACAUGUUGUGCAUUAAAGCAUAUUUGUGUCCUGAGAAUUGAUUGUUGGCC
rnacentral:lncRNA from 1 species